rnacentral:lncRNA from 1 species
UGAGGAGGUCAGUGUGUGUUUAUAGCAUCGUGUCAAAUAAGUAAUGAAUAAAAACCAUCUCAUCCGAGGAAAUUGACUCUUGGACAUGGAUUAUCAUGAUAAUAACUACCUAAAAUAAUAAACACGUUUGGAGGAACUGUAUUUGAAGAGUAGGCUAGUGUCACUUUUGAAAAGUGCGGAACUUAUGAUGACCUGUAGCCAUAAUAGCCAGCCACGAGAGGUCUCACUUUGACUGAAUGUUAUGUCCUCACUCAUCAUGUCAUCACUCUGUCAUUGUCGCAUGCUUAAACGCCAGCAAGAGCCUAUAUCCCCACCCGCCCCUGACCAGGUACGGUAACUGUUAACGUUACUGUCAUUCAAAACGUCAAACGAAUCGGCGUUAACCAAGAGCAUCGGCAGAGCCAUCCUGGCGGCUAUUCAAAAUGUUUCAACAACGACAGCAACCACCUCAGGGCCACCACAGGCCACCUCGGGUCCCACCACUUACAAUUACACACCGCUCCAGUGACCUUGUCUGUCAAAUGACUACCAAAGAAGACAUCAGAUUUCCAAAGAGGAGCUUGAACAUGUUCUUUCACUGAAAACCACCUUUACAGAAGCGGCAUCUAUUCUUUCAAUCUCAAGGCCAACUUUCUACAAGUUACUGCAAGACUAUAAUAUCCCAACAUCAAAAUUUAAGAGCAUCAGUGAUCAACAGUUGGAUCUUGAAGUGUCACAAAUAAAAACUGAACACCCAAAUGUUGGAGAAGUGAUGCUUAUGUGGC